rnacentral:lncRNA from 1 species
AUCCAACGCUCCGUGUUUUUUCUGAUUUUAUUUCUUUAUCUAUUUUCAUUUUUAAUUGUAUUUUCUUUUAAAAUUCAUAGAAAAUUCAUUUUACAUCCAAAAAUCCCAAAAUAAUUUAUAAAAUUCUCUUUUAUUUUUCUUCAUCUGAUUUAUAUUUUUCCACAUUUUUUUAUUGAUUUUCUAUUUUCAUGGAAUAUCUCUUUUCUCAUUUGUUUUAAUUGGUUUAAAAAAACUUUUCUACAUUUUUAAAUUCUGAAAAUUUUAUUAUAUGCUUAGUUAAUUUCCAAACCUUCCAUAGUUUUCUUGGCCAUUUAGUUGGUGUUUUGAAGGACUUUAUGGAUUUUUCCACUUUAUUUCUAUUUUAAAAUUCAUUUUAAAAUUAUUUUUGUUGCAUUUUAUUUUAUUUUAUUGCACUUUAUAUUUGUUUAACCUUUGUUGACUUCUAUUGGACUUGGAUCACGUUUGUUUUUAUCAUUUGUAUCAUCAAACUCAAUGGAUCUUGGGUGUUAAUGGGGUAAAAACUUUAAUCCACCAAAAUGGAUGAUUGAUUUUGAUGAUGACUUGAUCAAACCUUUGAUCAAAUUUCAG